rnacentral:rRNA from 1 species
CCCGCUGAACUUAAGCAUAUCAAUAAGCGGAGGAAAAGAAACUAACAAGGAUUCCCCUAGUAACUGCGAGUGAAGCGGGAAAAGCUCAAAUUUAAAAUCUGGUGGCCUUUGGCCAUCCGAGUUGUAAUUUAGAGAAGCGUCUUCCGCGCCGGACCGUGCACAAGUCUCCUGGAAUGGAGCGUCAUAGAGGGUGAGAAUCCCGUCUUUGGCACGGACGACCGGGGCUUUUGUGAUGCGCUCUCGAAGAGUCGAGUUGUUUGGGAAUGCAGCUCAAAAUGGGUGGGUGACUCCAUCUAAAGCUAAAUAUUGGCGAGAGACCGAUAGCGACAAAGUACCCGUGAGGGAAAGAUGAAAAGCACUUUGGAAAGAGAGUGAAACAGUACGUGAAAUUGUUGAAAGGGAAACGCUUGAAGUCAGUCGCGUCGUCCGAGACUCAGCCUCGCCUCGGCUUGGUGUACUUCUCGGCCGACGGGUCAGCAUCAAUUUUGCCCCUUGGAUAAUGGCGAGGGAAAUGUGACACCUUUACGGGUGUGUUAUAGUCUCUCGUCGCAUGCAAGGGUCGGGAUUGAGGAACUCGGCACGCGCCUUCGGGUGUCGGGGUUUUGCCCACGAUACGUGCUUAGGAUGUUGGCGUAAUGGCUUUAAACGACCCGUCUUGAAACACGG